rnacentral:lncRNA from 1 species
AUGCUUCCAUCCUGAUAGAAGAUAAUAGUGACAAGUUUUGGAUCCGUUUUUCAAAAAAUAUUGUAAGAACUAACUGCAUAAACAUAUGAAAUUAUAAGGCACUAUUUGUAGAUUCCUUAUACAAUAACAUCAUCUCAUAUUUUUGUAAAUGAAUCCCUAAGUUUGAAAGGCAGAUGCAUUUCAAACUUGAGUCCUUAAGUUUGAAAGGCAGACCUUCAGCAAUGAAGGGAUCCAACCUUAAGUC